rnacentral:rRNA from 1 species
GUUUAUUUCGGUAAACACCAAGUGGCGAACGGGUGAGUAACGCGUAAGCAAUCUACCUUCAAGAUGGGGACAACACUUCGAAAGGGGUGCUAAUACCGAAUGAAUGUAAGAGUAUCGCAUGAGACACUUACUAAAGGAGGCCUCUGAAAAUGCUUCCGCUUGAAGAUGAGCUUGCGUCUGAUUAGCUAGUUGGUGAGGGUAAAGGCCCACCAAGGCGACGAUCAGUAGCCGGUCUGAGAGGAUGAACGGCCACAUUGGGACUGAGACACGGCCCAGACUCCUACGGGAGGCAGCAGUGGGGAAUCUUCCGCAAUGGGCGAAAGCCUGACGGAGCAACGCCGCGUGAACGAAGAAGGUCUUAGGAUCGUAAAGUUCUGUUGUUAGGGACGAAGGGUAAGAAUCAUAAUAAGGUUUUUAUUUGACGGUACCUAACGAGGAAGCCACGGCUAACUACGUGCCAGCAGCCGCGGUAAUACGUAGGCGGCAAGCGUUGUCCGGAAUUAUUGGGCGUAAAGGGAGCGCAGGCGGGAAACUAAGCGGAUCUUAAAAGUGCGGGGCUCAACCCCGUGAUGGGGUCCGAACUGGUUUUCUUGAGUGCAGGAGAGGAAAGCGGAAUUCCCAGUGUAGCGGUGAAAUGCGUAGAUAUUGGGAAGAACACCAGUGGCGAAGGCGGCUUUCUGGACUGUAACUGACGCUGAGGCUCGAAAGCUAGGGUAGCGAACGGGAUUAGAUACCCCGGUAGUCCUAGCCGUAAACGAUGGAUACUAGGUGUGGGAGGUAUCGACUCCUUCCGUGCCGGAGUUAACGCAAUAAGUAUCCCGCCUGGGGAGUACGGCCGCAAGG